UUGGAGGGCAAGUCUGGUGCCAGCAGCCGCGGUAAUUCCAGCUCCAAUAGCGUAUAUUAAAGUUGUUGCAGUUAAAAAGCUCGUAGUUGAAUUUCGGGAUCAAUAAGUUGGUCGUGCCAAUGGUAUGUACUGGCUUUAUUGGUUCCUACCUCUUGACGAACUGUGAUGCCAUUAAUUUGGUGUUGCAGGAAAUCAGGACUGUUACCUUAGAAAAAAUUAGAGUGUUUAAAGCAGGCUUACGCUUGAAUACAUUAGCAUGGAAUAAUGAAAUAGGACGUUUGAUCCUUAUUUUGUUGGUUUCUAGGAUCGACGUAAUGAUUAAGUAGGGAUAGGUUGGGGGCAUUAGUAUUCAAUUGU
rnacentral:rRNA from 1 species